GGAAGAGAGUUAAACAGUACGUGAAAUUGCUAAAAGGGAAACGCUUGAAGUCAGUCGCGUUAUGCAGAACUCAGCCUGGCUUUUGCUUGGUGUAUUUUCUGUAUGACGGGCCAGCAUCAAUUUUGGCCGCUGGAAAAAGGCCUCAGAAAUGUGGCACCUUCGGGUGUGUUAUAGUCUGAGGUCAUAUACAGCGGCUGGGAUUGAGGUCUGCAGCACGCCUUUAUGGCUGGGGUUCGCCCACAUUCGUGCUUAGGAUGCUGGCGUAAUGGCUUUAAACGACCCGUCUUGAAACACGGACCAAGAC
rnacentral:rRNA from 1 species